ACAUGCCUACAACAUAACAUUAAUGCACUGGAUCCCAUUAGCACUCCGUAGUUAAGCGCGCUCCAGAUAGAUUAGUAAUGGGAUUGGAGAUCACCUGAUAAUUCCUAAUGUUUUACAUGCC
rnacentral:rRNA from 1 species